GGACCCUUCGAUGCUGUAAGUCUCCGGACUGAUGUCGGUUGCUUGCCGAUGUGGAGCUCAGAUCUGGUUUGAGGAUGCCUUCUUUUUCAAGAACUUGCAAUGGAAGUCCAAACUCGCUGUAGGUACUUCAGUAGGGAUCCUGAGAUGCUUGAGUUAGUCGAAGCUCGAGAAUAGAGAAAGAGAAGAAAAAAGAGAUGAGAGAGUGAGAGAGUGUAGGCAUUGUUCUCUUUAUACUUGUUUGCUUACCUUAAGUUUCCCUCGUCACCUCUUUAUAUAGGGAUGGAGCUUUAGGCUAUUAUACCUGAAUCUGCU
rnacentral:lncRNA from 1 species